rnacentral:rRNA from 1 species
AUGGCGUCCUGCAAGCCUGUCAUCGUCCUCGCCGCCCUCCUCCUCACCGCCCUCGUCAUUCCUACGGAUGCGCAGCAGACACCACAUAUAGAUUGCCUGUCAGCAUGCAAUGCUCGUUGCUCGAAGAACUGGAGGAACAAGAUAUGUAACAAGGACUGCAAUAUUUGUUGCGACAAGUGUAACUGCAUCCCUUCCGGCACCGGCCAGGAGACCCGUAAUGAAUGCCCCUGCUACGCCAACUUGGUCGACUCAAAGACCGGCAAGCUCAAGUGCCCGUAG